CGCCAGAGAAUUACAAGUGAAAACUCAAAACUCUAAGGACUUGACGGUGCCCCACACCCACCUAGAGGAGCCUGUCCCAUAAUCGAUAAUCCACGAUCAACCUUCCCCCCUCUUGCAGCCUAUAUACCGCCGUCGCCAGCUAACCUUUUGAAAGCUAAAAAGUUAGUACAACAGCCCCUCGCUAAUACGUCAGGUCAAGGUGCAGCUAAUGAGGGGGCGCGAGAUGGGCUACAUUUUCUACCACCUAGAAAACUGCCGAAGGCCCCAAUGAAAACAAGGCCGAUAGAUGGAUCUAGCAGUAAACAAAACAAGAGAUGUUAAGUUGAA
rnacentral:rRNA from 1 species